CAGCCGCCGCGGUAAAACGAAGGGGGCUAGCGUUGUUCGGAAUUACUGGGCGUAAAGCGCACGUAGGCGGAUAUUUAAGUCAGGGGUGAAAUCCCAGAGCUCAACUCUGGAACUGCCUUUGAUACUGGGUAUCUUGAGUAUGGAAGAGGUGAGUGGAAUUCCGAGUGUAGAGGUGAAAUUCGUAGAUAUUCGGAGGAACACCAGUGGCGAAGGCGGCUCACUGGUCCAUUACUGACGCUGAGGUGCGAAAGCGUGGGGAGCAAACAGGAUUAGAGACCCGUGUAGUCCCUGUCUCUUAUAC
rnacentral:rRNA from 1 species